CACACACAUAUAUUUCCCCUACAAAUUCACACACCCCCCCCACACAUACACAUAUACCCACACACAAAUCCACACACACACAUACAGACACAUGCACAUACCCAUGCACUCAGCCACAUUCACAGAUACAAACAACCCCCCCACACACAUUCACACACAUACACUCACACAGUCACAUUCACACACAUGUGCUCACAGUCACUUCACACAUAUACACUCACACACAUUCAGACACAAAUACAUUCUCACACACAUACACCCACACAUCCACCCACACACUCACAUUCACACUCAUACACAUUCACACACAUACACACACACCCACACAUUUACAGUCACACAUACACUCACACACUCAGAUUCUCACACAUACACACUCACAUUCACACACAUACACCCGCACACUCACAUUCACACACACUCAUGCACAUUCAUAAACAUACACACACACCCACACAUUUACAGUCACACAUACACUCACACACUCACAUGC
rnacentral:lncRNA from 1 species